rnacentral:rRNA from 1 species
UAAUACCGGAUACAACCACUGACCGCAUGGUCGGGGGGGGGAAAGCUCCGGCGGUGCAGGAUGAGCCCGCGGCCUAUCAGCUUGUUGGUGAGGUAACGGCUCACCAAGGCGACGACGGGUAGCCGGGCUGAGAGGGCGACCGGCCACACUGGGACUGAGACACGGCCCAUACUCCUACGGGAGGCAGCAGUGGGGAAUAUUGCACAAUGGGCGAAAGCCUGAUGCAGCGACCCCGCGUGAGGGAUGACGGCCUUCGGGUUGUAAACCUCUUUCACCAGGGAAAAAGCGAGAGUGACGGUACCUGCAAAAAAAGCGCCGGCUAACUACGUGCCAGCAGCCGCGGUAAUACGUAGGGCGCAAGCGUUGUCCGGAAUUAUUGGGCGUAAAGAGCUCGUAGGCGGCUUGUCACGUCGGUUGUGAAAGCCCGGGGCUUAACCCCGGGUCUGCAGUCGAUACGGGCAGGCUAGAGUUCGGUAGGGGAGAUCGGAAUUCCUGGUGUAGCGGUGAAAUGCGCAAAUAUCAGGAGGAACACCGGUGGCGAAGGCGGAUCUCUGGGCCGAUACUGACGCUGAGGAGCGAAAGCGUGGGGAGCGAACAGGAUUAGAUACCCUGGUAGUCCACGCCGUAAACGGUGGGCACUAGGUGUGGGCGACAUUCCACGUCGUCCGUGCCGCAGCUAACGCAUUAAGUGCCCCGCCUGGGGAGUACGGCCGCAAGGCUAAAACUCAAAGGAAUUGACGGGGGCCCGCACAAGCGGCGGAGCAUGUGGCUUAAUUCGACGCAACGCGAAAAACCUUACCAAGGCUUGACAUACACCGGAAACGUCUGGAGACAGGCGCCCCCUUGUGGUCGGUGUACAGGUGGUGCAUGGCUGUCGUCAGCUCGUGUCGUGAGAUGUUGGGUUAAGUCCCGCAACGAGCGCAACCCUUGUCCCGUGUUGCCAGCAGGCCCUUGUGGUGCUGGGGACUCACGGGAGACCGCCGGGGUCAACUCGGAGGAAGGUGGGGACGACGUCAAGUCAUCAUGCCCCUUAUGUCUUGGGCUGCACACGUGCUACAAUGGCCGGUACAAUGAGCUGCGAUACCGUGAGGUGGAGCGAAUCUCAAAAAGCCGGUCUCAGUUCGGAUUGGGGUCUGCAACUCGACCCCAUGAAGUCGGAGUCGCUAGUAAUCGCAGAUCAGCAUUGCUGCGGUGAAUACGUUCCCGGGCCUUGUACACACCGCCCGUCACGUCACGAAAGUCGGUAACACCCGAAGCCGGUGGCCCAA